GAGCGGCGGACGGGUGAGUAAUGCAUAGGAAUCUGCCCAGUAGUGGGGGAUAGCCCGGGGAAACCCGGAUUAAUACCGCAUACGCCCUUUGGGGGAAAGCAGGGGAUCUUCGGACCUUGCGCUAUUGGAUGAGCCUAUGUCGGAUUAGCUAGUUGGUGGGGUAAAGGCCUACCAAGGCGACGAUCCGUAGCUGGUCUGAGAGGAUGAUCAGCCACAUCGGGACUGAGACACGGCCCGAACUCCUACGGGAGGCAGCAGUGGGGAAUAUUGGACAAUGGGGGCAACCCUGAUCCAGCCAUGCCGCGUGUGUGAAGAAGGCUUUCGGGUUGUAAAGCACUUUCAGUGAGGAGGAAAACCUUCUGGUUAAUACCCAUGAGGCUUGACGUUACUCACAGAAGAAGCACCGGCUAACUCCGUGCCAGCAGCCGCGGUAAUACGGAGGGUGCAAGCGUUAAUCGGAAUUACUGGGCGUAAAGCGCGCGUAGGUGGUUUGAUAAGCGAGAUGUGAAAGCCCCGGGCUUAACCUGGGAAACGGCAUUUCGAACUGUCAGGCUAGAGUGUGGUAGAGGGU
rnacentral:rRNA from 1 species